CCUACGGGUGGCAGCAGUGAGGAAUAUUGGUCAAUGGACGAGAGUCUGAACCAGCCAAGUAGCGUGAAGGAUGACUGCCCUCUGGGUUGUAAACUUCUUUUAUAUGGGAAUAAAUUGUUCCACGUGUGGGAUUUUGUAUGUACCCUAUGAAUAAGGAUCGGCUAACUCCGUGCCAGCAGCCGCCGUAAUACGGAGGAUCCGAGCGUUAUCCGGAUGUAUUGGGUUUAACGGGCGCGUAGGUGGAUUGUUAAGUCAGUUGUGAAAGUUUGCGGCUCAACCUUAAAAUUGCAGUUGAAACUGGCAGGCUGGAGUACAGUAGAGGUGGGCGGAAUUCGUGGUGUAGCGGUGAAAUGCUUAGAUAUCACGAAGAACUCCGAUUGCGAAGGCAGCUUACUGGACUGCAACUGACAUUGAGGCUCGAAAGUGUGGGUAUCAAACAGGAUUAGAUACCCGAGUAGUC
rnacentral:rRNA from 1 species